rnacentral:rRNA from 1 species
UACACUGCGGCGACGGACGCUCGGUGAAACAGAGGGGUGGAGGCGUACUCGGAUGUACGGUGCGGAAAUCGCGCGUGUGUGGUUAAUUAAGUCAAAUGUGAAAGCCCCGAGCUUAACGUGGGAAUUGCAUUCGAUACUGGGUAGCUAGAGUAUGGGAGAGGAUGGUAGAAUUCCAUGUGUAGCGGUGAAAUGCGUAGAGAUCUGGAGGAAUACCGAUGGCGAAGGCAGCCAUCUGGCCUAAGACUGACACUGAGGUGCGAAAGCAUGGGGAGCAAACAGGAUUAGAUACCCCAGUAGUC